UGGGGAAUAUUGGACAAUGGGGGGAACCCUGAUCCAGCCAUGCCGCGUGUGUGAAGAAGGCCUUAUGGUUGUAAAGCACUUUAAGCGAGGAGGAGGGUACUGGUAUUAAUACUACCAGGUACUGGACGUUACUCGCAGAAUAAGCACCGGCUAACUCUGUGCCAGCAGCCGCGGUAAUACAGAGGGUGCAAGCGUUAAUCGGAAUUACUGGGCGUAAAGCGCGCGUAGGUGGUUCGUUAAGUUGAAUGUGAAAGCCCCGGGCUCAACCUGGGAACUGCAUCCAAAACUGGCGAGCUAGAGUAGGGCAGAGGGUGGUGGAAUUUCCUGUGUAGCGGAGAAAUGCGUAGAUAUAGGAAGGAACACCAGUGGCGAAGGCGACCACCUGGGCUCAUACUGACACUGAGGUGCGAAAGCGUGGGGAGCAAACAGG
rnacentral:rRNA from 1 species